CCAACAUGACACAGAAAGCUUUCAAUACAAUUCCUUGCAACCUGCCUGUGAUUACUAAGACAACACAUAAGCAUUUCAAUCAUGUUCUGGUCUUUACUCAGAUAGCUUGUUUUUUUAUAUGUAAUACUUUGCUCUCCUUAUUACCAGUAUAGGGGAAGGAUAGAUAGCCCAUUGGUCUCCAUGUGUGUCUGCCUGUUCUAGAAUACUUUAUUUAGAGAUCAUUGACAAGAGAAGAGGUGGGCACCACAUGAUAUUUUAGAUGAUAUCACCCUGCUUUAGAGUCCUCACAACUUCUGAAUGAUAGUAGGGAAGACCCUUUGUUGUUGUGUUUUUAGAAAUUUCUUCCCAGAUUUAAGUUCUGGAAUAGAUUCUCACGCAUUACCAACUUUUAAAAAAAUCACUGAUUCUGUUUUAAAAACACGUUGCUCAAACUAUUGUUUUGCUACUAUAACAGACUGCUGUCUUAGUUUUUAAUGUGUUGUUUUAUUGUAAUUAAAAUAAUCUCCAUCUAAUAAUUUA